AACGUAGGAGGCGAGCGUUAUCCGGAGUUACUGGGCGUAAAGCGCGUGUAGGUGGUCUGUUGCGUCUGCUGUGAAAUGUCCCGGCUUAACCGGGAAGGUGCGGCGGAUACGGGCAGACUAGAGGGUGACAGAGGAGCGUAGAAUUCCGGGUGUAGUGGUGAAAUGCGUAGAGAUCCGGAGGAAUACCAGUGGCGCAAGCGGCGCUCUGGGUCGAGCCUGACACUGAGACGCGAAGGCAUGGGGAGCGAACGGG
rnacentral:rRNA from 1 species